rnacentral:lncRNA from 1 species
UUGAGCAAAGUGAGACAUCACCUGCUUUUUAUUACUCCCAACUAAGUUGGUUUCACACUCUGGAAAUGAUAUAGCUACAAACACCUCCAAACCAACUGCCAGUACUUACAGUAUAGCUAAUGUUCUUUCUUUCUCAUUUGCUCUGUGUCGCAGGAGAUAGAGGGAUAACACUAUCCCCAGCCAGGCAGACGAGUGCACAUUACAAGACGAGUGCAGAGGGAUCUGUCACGCCUUCAGCCAGCAUGCAUAAAUACUGUGGAUUUGUUGAGAACACUCAUGAGUCCAACAAAGAUGAAGAGGUAGAAGAAGACGAUGGAGGAAGAAGAAGGAGAAAUGGGAACUAUAGCUCCAGGAGGUGGGACAGUGGUGGACGGAGCGGGCCAGGUUACAGGAUCCAACCCUGGGGACCUCCAUGGAGGAAGGAGUGUGGCUCAUCAAGAAGAGGAGGAAGCAACGUCAUAAACAGAAGCUCUUGUCUCUGGGUCUGGUGCCGCGUGCUGCGGCUCGAGGGGGGGAGGAAGAGAAGAGCAGCUGAAGUGAUAAUCUUCCUCAGGACCACACAAGAUCUAUGUGUCUGA